rnacentral:rRNA from 1 species
AGCAGUCGCCGCGGGGAUACAGAGGGUGCGAGCGUUAAUCGGAUUUACUGGGCGUAAAGCGUGCGUAGGCGGCUUUUUAAGUCGGAUGUGAAAUCCCUGAGCUUAACUUAGGAAUUGCAUUCGAUACUGGGAAGCUAGAGUAUGGGAGAGGAUGGUAGAAUUCCAGGUGUAGCGGUGAAAUGCGUAGAGAUCUGGAGGAAUACCGAUGGCGAAGGCAGCCAUCUGGCCUAAUACUGACGCUGAGGUACGAAAGCAUGGGGAGCAAACAGGAUUAGAUACCCGGGUAGUCCCUGUCUCUUAUAC